AGAGUUUGAUCCUGGCUCAGGAUAAACGCUGGCGGCGUGCUUUAUGCAUGCAAGUCGAACGGUUCUUCCCGCAAGGGAAGGAUAGUGGCAAACGGGUGAGUAACACAUAAGUAAUCUGCCCCUAAGUAGGGGAUAACUCUGAGAAAUUGGAGCUAAUACCGUAUGUGGUGAUGGAGGUAAUGCUCUAUUACUAAAGCCUUUGGGCGCUUAGGGAGGAGCUUGUGUCCGAUUAGCUAGUUGGUAGAGUAAUGGUUUACCAAGGCGAUGAUCGGUAGCUGGUCUGAGAGGAUGGUCAGCCACACUGGGACUGAGACACGGCCCAGACUCCUACGGGAGGCAGCAGCAAGGAAUUUUGUGCAAUGGGCGAAAGCCUGACACAGCGACGCCGCGUGGGGGAUGAAUGUUUUCGGAUUGUAAACCCCUUUUCUCAGGGAGGAAUAAUGACAGUACCUGAGGAAUAAGCCACAGCUAACUACGUGCCAGCAGCUGCGGUAAUACGUAGGUGGCGAGYGUUAUCCGGAUUUAUUGGGCGUAAAGAGGGCGCAGGCGGCUUUUCAAGUCGGACGUGAAAUCUCCCAGCUUAAUGGGGAGGGGUCGUUCGAUACUGUUAAGCUAGAGGGCAACAGAGGGAGGUAGAAUUCCCGGUGUAGUGGUGAAAUGCGUAGAUAUCGGGAGGAAUACCAGUGGCGAAGGCGGCCUCCUGGGUUGUUACUGACGCUUAAGCCCGAAGGCGUGGGGAGCAAACAGGAUUAGAUACCCUGGUAGUCC
rnacentral:rRNA from 1 species